rnacentral:lncRNA from 1 species
CUGCGGACAGGAACGGGGAGAAGAUAAAAGCGGACGUCCAACAUUGGAGCAACACAGUGGACAAGGUAAUCAAUGAAGAGGAGAAGAAGGUGAAGGAUCUUCAAGAGAAAGCAAAGAACAAGUGCUUCAUUGGCUUGUGUCCCAAUAUUAAGUCUCGCUACCAGCUUAGCAGGAAAGCAGAAGAAGGUGUUGCGGUUGUUGACGACCUUAUUCGACAGUGUCAAUUUAACGAAGUGGGAUACCGUGGUGUUCCAGAAGGUUUUCAACGAUAUCGUGGAAGCAGUGAAAGAUGCUGCUAUCACUAGUCAACAAAGUUGCUAGACAAGUCCAAGAGGUCAAGUUAUUUGAUUCGGUGGUUAACGUAAUUGUGACUCAAGACUCCUGACAUUCAGAAAAUUCAAGAUCAAGUUGCACAAUUAUUAAGUCUCAGACUGGAAGAUAAGAGUACGGUUGUAAGAGCACAUAGAUUGUGCGAAAGGUUGAAAAAAGGGAAGAAGGUUCUUGUUGUUUUAGAUAAUACUUGGAAGGAAUUGGAUCUCGAGAAAGUUAGAAUUCCAUUUGGGAACCAACACAAGGGAUGCAAGAUAUUGUUGACGUCAAGAGAUCAAAAUGUACUCACCAAUGAGAUGGAUGCAGAGAAAACUUUUGCAAUUGGUGAUAAAGAAGAUUGGCUCUUAUUUAGGAAGACGGCCGGGGAAAUUGUUGAAAGCACUGAGUUGCGAUCUACAGCAAUUGAGGUAGCCAAAAGAUGUGCAAAAUUACCGUUGGCCAUUGCAACAGUUGCAAGGGCAUUGAGAAAUAAAAGCUUAUAUGCUUGGAAUGAUGCUUUACGGUAACUACAGAGGCCUUCCUCAAAAACUUCGCUGGGAUAUCCGCAGCCGUAUAUUCAGCUAUAGAGUUGAGUUACAAUCACUUAGAAAGUGAAGAUCUUAAACAGGUUUUCCUGCUUUGCAGUCUACUGCAUUGUGAUAGCAUCGAUUACUUGUUGAGAUAUGCCAUUGGUUUGGGUUUAACUAAUGGUGUCAACACCGUGGAGGAAGCGCGAAAUAGGUUGUUAACAAUGGUGAGUAACUCUUGUUUUUUACUUGAUAGUAACAUCAAUGACCAGUACUUUGAUAUGCAUGAUCUUGUUUUUGAUGUCGCCAUGUCAAUCGCUUUUACAUACAAUCAAGUCUUUGCAUUAAAUGAGGAGGAUGUUCUAAAAGAUUGGCCUGAUGGGGAGACAAUGAAAAAGUGGAACAAGAUUUGUUUGAAAUAUCAUAGGGUUGGAGAGGUUCCUGACAAGUUGAAUUGUCCACAGCUUGUUCUUUUCCUUAUUUGUAGAAAGGAUCUGUCCAUGAAAAUGCCACCUAACUUCUUUAGGGAAACAACAAAUCUUAAAGUCUUAGAUUUGACUCAGAUGCAUUUCUCUUCUUUACCUUCAUCAAUUUGUCUUCUAACAAGUCUUCGUACAUUGUGCCUAGAUCAAUGUGAAUUGGGAGAUAUAGUCAUUAUUGGAGAGCUCAAGAAUUUAGAAAUUCUUAGCCUUUGAAAUCUAAUAUCAAAACUCUAGCUAAGGGAAUUGGGCAACUAGUUAAGUUGAAGUUAUUGGAUUUAAAUGAUUGUACUAAACUCAAAAUAAUUCCACCAGGUGUCUUAUCAAGUUUGUCCAAAUUAGAAGAAUUAUAUAUGGGUGACACGUUUAUUCAAUGGGAAGCAGGGGAACAGGCCAACCAACAAAGCAAUGCUAGUCAUUGUCUCGUUUGACCACUUUAGAAGUUCAAAUUCCUAAUGCUGAGGCCAUGCUAGAAGGGUUGCUCUUUAAAGAGAUGCAAAAGUUGAAAAGAUACAAAGUUUUCGUAGGAAAGGAAUGGGAAUGGUUUGGUGAGUAUGAGUAUCCAAGGACUCAGAAACUCAAGUUAAGUACAAGCAUUGAUCAUUUGGAUCAUGGAAUUAAGUUGUUAUUGAAGAACACCGAAGCUCUGUAUUUCGAUGAACUUAAAGGUGUCAAGUUUGCAAUGCAAGAGUUAAAAGAUGAAGAAAGCUUGCUGCUGUUCAAGAAUCUAUAUAUCCAAAAUAUUCAAUGAUCAAAUAUAUCAUUAUUGAUAAUGGUGUCUUUGACACUUCAAAAUCUAUCACAGCUCAUUGGCUUUUGUUCUGAAGAAAAAAGCAGCUCUACCUCCACAGCUCAACAUGAUCAGUUGCCUCUUUUCAAUGAUAAGGUAUUUAUUAACUUCCAUCUUUUACUCAUUCUAAGGCAUAGGUUAAUCUUAUUUUUAAAUUCUUUAAGAUUCUUUCUUAUGAUCGACCAAUGUUCUCGGAUGUUAAAUUUGUAUUAUUUUAGAAUCUCCUUCCUUCACUUCUUUGCUAGAUGCCCCUGAAUAUCUAUUAUGAGUAAAAACAUACAUUGAACAUCCAUUAUAAAUAUAGAAGAAGAAAGCAAAGAUAAGAUUUUGUUUCCUCAAUUAAGCUUUCUAAAGUUAUAGGAUCUUUAGCAUCUUGUUGGAUUUUUCUUAAAAGAUCAGAAUAUUGAAUUUCCAUUCUUGAAGGCAUGAUGAUAGAGAACUGCCCAGAAAUAAAAGGGCUCAUAUACAAAUCUUUGACGGAAGGGAGCCAACGUUUCUCUAGUCAAGCUUUCUUCAACGAAAAAGUAGAUUAAUUAGCAUUCUUUAUUGAACAUGUUUUUCCCAUUGCCAUGCUUUUGGCCUUGAUUAUAGGAACAAAUGCUUCUAAAAUUUUCAUUAAUUGGCAUGAAUUAAUUACAUACAGGUUGCAUUUCUUAGUUUGGAGGGACUUUCUAUUUUCAAAUUGAGAAGCAUCAAGAUGAUAUGGCAGAACCAACCCGCUACGAAUUCCUUUGGCAAACAACCAGGAAUGAAAGUUCAAGAAUGUGAUGAGUUAUUGACCAUUUUUCCAUCUAAUAUGUUGAGAGCAUUUCAAGGACUGCAAAAAUCUAUUAGUGAACAAUUGUGUUUUGCUAGAAGAAGUAUUUGAAGUCAGAAGGUCAAAUAUGGAAGAAACAUGUGCUGCCUCCACUCAACUAGGAGAGUUGUAUAUUGUGGAUCUACCAAGCCUCAAGUAUAUUUGAAAAAAUGAUCCCAAAGGAAUUUUUACAUUUGAAAAUCUGCGGGUAAUAAGUAUUUGGCGUUGUUUCAAUCUGAAGAAUGUAUUUCCAGCCUCAGUAGCCAAAGUUCUUCCAUAACUUAGAGAUCUUCGGAUAGCUGGUUGCAGAGUGAAGGAAAUUGUUUCUAAAGAGGAAGGAUUGGAAACAGUUGUCACUUUUGUGUUUGAUCAAGUAUCCUACCUUUGCCUUUUGAACCUACCAGAACUCGUAUGUCUCUACUUGGGGGUGCAUGCCACAGAGUGGCCAAUGUUAAAAAGGUUAAAUGUAUUGGACUGUGGGAACAUGAAGAUACUCGGUAUAGAACGUCUUAGCAUCCCUGAUAAGACUAAGGUCGAUGGACAACUUGAGUCCACAUUAAUCCUUCCACCGCUUUCGUUGGCUAAAAGGUAUGCGUGCACCUCCACCUCAACUCUUCUCUCAAUUAAUUAAGAUGCUAACGUGUACAUGAAAAGCUAUUUGAUUGAUCCUUGUAAUGUACAAAAAAUCAUUUCCAUCAAAUGUGAUCUUCAAGAAAAUCAUUAAAUACUACCAAAUCAAUUUUUUAUUUUUAUAUUUAUUUUUAUAGGAAAUUGCAUAUGUCAAUGACUAACUAGUUGAAUUUAUAUAAAUUAAGUGGUAUGUAAUAUUUUGAAAAAUAAAUCACUUGCAUGUUUUGAUUUCACUCACAAUUUCAGAUGAGCAUUUAGUCACUUAACUUUUCGAAAACUUUUAUUUUUAGUCAUUCAAUAUUAAAAAAUAAUGAUUUGGUCACCAACAUUUGUGAAAGUUAUUUUUUUUAACACUUAAUAAUUAGAAAAAAAAAGUCAAUCAUUAGCUUUUUUAGAGAAAAAAAAGGUCAACCAUUGGCUUCUAACAACUGAGUGAUAAACAUGAACUUUCACAAAGUUUGAUAGCCAAAUUGUGAUUAUUUAAAAUUAAAUGACCAAAAUAAAAACUUAUGAAAAAUUAAUUGAGUAAAUGUGUAAUUAAAAUUGGAGUUUGUUUGAGUCCAACCCCUACCUUUAAUCGUGAAAACAAGUACCAAGACUUGCCUACUCGCAUAUUGUGUUUGUGUGUGCACUUAUUUUCUUUUUGGCUCCAAAACUAUUUUUUCAGGACAUCCCUAAAUUAGAAAAAUUGUCGCUAAAUAUUGAUGACAUUGCAAUGAUAAGUGAGUCAAUUUUCAAGCAGCCUUUUUCGUUAAAUAAAAGUUUUUAAGGUUUACAGCAACCCUGGUAAAUCUGUUGUUUCCCCAAGUGCUUUCCUUGAAAGAUUUGACAAUCUAGAAAGCUUGUGGUGAUUUCUUAUGAAUUCAAAGAGCUGUUCUGCAAUGAAAGAGAUAAUGGUAUGGAGACAUAUGCGGGGACACUGCCGAUGAUCAGAAGCUUAAAAUUGAUUCAUCUUCAUAAUCCCAAACAAUUAUGGAGGCAGGACGUACAAGUAGACCACAUUCCCCCGAAUCUGGAAACUCUUAAAGUCUGGGAUUGUGCCAAACUGAUUAGUUUAGGAUCAUCCACAGCAUCGUUCCAAAAUCUCUUGAUGUUGGAUGUGUGGAGCUGCAAAGCAAUGAUAUGCUUAGAUACAUCUUUAGCAGUCCAAAGUCUAGCCCAGCUCUAAAAAUUGAGGUUAAGACAGUGCAUUCCAAUGAAGGAAAUAGUUGGAAAUGAGGGUGAUGAAGCAACAUACGACAUUGUUUUCAGCAACUUGAAAAGUUUGGAACUUUGUGGUUGACCACAAAUUAGAAGUUUUUGUUCAGGCAACCACACAUUUGGGUUCCCGUCUUUAGAAAAAGUAAUUGUGAGCAAAUGUCCUGAAAUGAAGAUUUUCUGUAAGGGAGUUUUAAAUGCGCCAAUGCUGCAAAGAGUACAAGAAACAGAUGAAGAUGGUAAGGGACAUUGGGGUGGUGACCUUAACAGUACUAUCCAACAACUCUACGUCGAAAAGGUACCUAUGUAAGAAAUUAUUUAUCUAACGAAUUAAUUGUCUUUGUAAGGCUCUUUUUUGUUGCUGGAUGCUUUUGUUUGCUUAAUUUAACUUUAGGUUUUCUAUUUUUAUUUCCUUUUUGUUUGUGCGUACUUUUGAACUUAAUCUUCCUUUCUUUGAUGGAUUUUGUAGGUUGGAUACUAAGGAGUUGUGUAUGAAGUACUUUCCAAAUUUUCUAAGUCAAUAGAAAUAUGGAAGGACAAUCUUGAAGGAGUUUUAGAUUUUGUAAAUCUUAAAUAUUUGAAAAUUUACAAAUGUAAGAGCUUCAAGUCCAUUUUUACUGUUUCCAUGGUUUUGGAGCUUCAGCAAUUGAACGAGAUAAAAGUAAAAAAUUGCCAUAUGAUGGAGCAUAUUAUCACAAAUGAACAAGCAGAGGAAGCCGCAAUGAAUUUAAUGGUGUUACCCAGGCUUAAGGUUAUAAUUCUUGAGUCAUGUUCCAAUUUGAGGAGCUUUUGUUUGAGAAGUAUUACAAUGGAUGUCAGUCCAAUUGUUAAUAUUAUUAAAAAAAAUUAUUAUUUAUAUUGAUAUGAUUUUUUUACUGAUAUAGCAUUAAAUAUGAUGACUUGUUAAUAAUGAUGUGACAUUUUUUUUAUAUUUCACAUCAUUCUUUUCAAUGUUUUAAAUUAUGAAACACAGAAAUUUAAUUUUUUUUAUUCAAACAAUACUAUUUUCCUAAAUCCUAGAAACCUAUUAGUAUUUUUUAUUUGUUUCUUAUGCAAUUGUGUUUAAUAUCAUUAACUCACAUUGGAUAAUUCAAUAUCCACACUUAUAAAAUCCAUUUUAGUACUUGAUCAUGUCAUAUUGACAUUACUAUUACAUUAUUUUUAAAAUACUACAUCAGUAGUGUUAUGUCAUUAUAUUCAAUGUCACGUCUAAUAGCAAAGCUAAUAUUUUAUGUUUGGAGAGACGAAAAUAAAAAGUUCGAUGUUUAUAGAGAUAAAAUUAUAAAUUUUUUUUUAAAAUAGGGAUAAAAUUAUAAAUUUUAAAAAGUAAUAAGUAAAAAUUUUAAAAUUUUAACUGUGAGGCCCUACUAGCCCCUUCCUCUACUUCUAAUCAAAUCAAUAAAAAAAUACCAUGUCAACAUAAGCAAACGUCAUAUUAAUAUAAAUAAUAAAAAAUUUUAUCACAUUGAAUUGAUAUUGUAUUUUUAAAAAGUACAUAGAUUCAAUUUUUGAAAGUAUUAUAUAAAAAUUAAAUUAACCAUUAUAAUAUAAUAUAAAGACUAAUGUCAUAAUUUAAUAAAAAAUUUAUAUUCAGCCACCCCCAUUACACUUGCUCGAGUUUUUAAAUCUCGUGAUGCGACCGCUUUGUCGGGUAACCAGAAAAUAUCCUAUACAUCCCCACUUUCCAUUUAAUGGAUAAAGAAUAUACACUUGCCUCACAUGGGAAAUUGUGUUCCCUAAGGAUUUCUUUUUAUUGUGAAUUACACGACUUAUUAAAUUAAACAACAAUAAUAAAAAUUAUCUAAUUCUUGAAAUUAACAUAAAAGUCUCCAUCUAAGCUUGAUUCAACCUGAAAGAAAUAGUAAGCUCGGACUUAGUUAAAUUUAUAAAACUCAUAUAUAUUCACUAUUGACAUUAUAUUUUCCCUUUUGAGUUCUAAUUAACAUAUUUAAACUUUUCUGAUCUCUUUUAACUUUUUUUUUUAAAUGAGUUUUAUUUUUUCGUUACUUGUAAUAUUAUGACAAGUCUUUUAACUCAAUUGACAGAAUACUUUUGUGAGAUAGAGUACUUGGUGCCGGAAUUUAAUUGUACAUUUACAAAAGUUACACUGUGCAUCAAGCAGAGACAGCAAGCAGAAUCAGUAAAGAGUCCCAACAACGUCAACCAAAAAACAAAAGGAUCCUACAAGGAAAAGCAGCGAUAAAGCCUAUAAGAAUCAGAUCCCUCGACAAUACCCUGGAUGGGGCAAAACCUGAGAGGAGCUCCUAAAAAGUCUCAGGAGCACGGGGCUGAGACAAAGUCUCCCAUCCAAUGAGAAAUGAGCAGAAGACUGAGCAGACACGUGAAAUGCUUUCCAAUUUCCAUGUGCACUCCUUUGUAAUUAUUGGUGAGAGUGGGACAGACACCUCCACGUUUCCCCAACUUGAAUUCCAAUUGCAUCUCCUACCUAACACUUUCUUGUCUCUCUUCAUUUCUUUUCCUUUAUUCUAGUUUUUUUUUUUUUUGGGUAUUAGUUGUGAUGGCUUUGUAGGAUCUAUAUAUUUGUAUGCCACUAUAUAUUUGUCUUAUAUAAAAAAAGAAACUAUAUAUAUUUGUCUUGUCUGCCACUAUUCUUUUCUUUCUUCCGUUAAUCCAUUUUUUAAUUUAUAUUGGUAUGGCAUAGUGUUUUAAUAAUGAAAACUUAUGACAAGUCUUUCUUUAUAAUUGCCGAUUGUCAUGACUCGUGGGCUCAUGGGUAUUUACUGAAAUUUUAAGUCUUUCUUUAUAAUUGAUGAUCGGAAAAAUUUGAAACUUAAUGUGAAAUUAUGGUUAAGAAAAUGUGAGUGAAGUACAGCUCAAUUCAUCCAUUGAUUAUUGUUUGACAAGUUGCAUUAUUGUAUUAACCAUUAAUUUUGUUAGAGUGGUUAAUGACAUCUACUUUAACAAUAAGGGAGAAACCUUAAGUAUCCAUAUGAAUUUAGUCUAAUGUUACAUUGAAACUUUGGAUAUCAAUAUGAAUUUAAUCUAAUUUUAUAUUGAAACUUUAGUAAAGCUAUCUCAUUUGUAUACGUUUAAAAGAAAUAAAAAGGUGCAAGUGGCAUGAGCAAGUGACUAGCAAUAGUAUAUGUUUUAGAUGAAAAAGUUCAUUAAAGAAAAGAGAAGGCUUGCUCUGUUUAAAUCCCCACCCCCUCCCUCCUUUGGCAGAAAAAGCAAAGGUGACCAAUAUAAGAGAGGAGGUUAGACAAAUAUUAACAUUAUUCUUUCAUGGCAUUGAUUUUCACACUGACUUGGUAGAAUGAAAUUUCAGAGAAAUUACGCUGACCAUAUUUUAUUGAUACAACACGAGCUGCAAAUCUUGUACAAAGAAUAAAGAAAGCAUCAACAAUCACAUCAGUUUGGCAUGUUCAAGAGGGAGAGUGAAUUAAGCAUUAGACUUGGAAAGUUCAUUAAAUAACAUACCUUUUGAUCAACUUUCCAUAGUUGGAAAAGCAUAAUUGGAGCGAAUUUAGAAAAGUAAAAGAAUCACAUAUAUAUAUAUAUAUAUAUAUAUAUAUAUAUAGAGCUAUUCAUAAUGAUAAAUAAUUUUAUAUAAUUUGUUAAUCAAUAAAAAAAAUACUUAUAAUAAUCUUUUAAGAAAGUUGUGCUCAGUCAUAUAUAUUUUUUUAUAUUCAAAUUCAUCAAUUUUUGAUUAUGUGUUGAAAAAUAUCGAUUUCUUUAGAAUUGAAUCUUAGACGUUUUAAUUUACAUUACUCUUAUUUUUAAGUUGAAGUGUUGAGACUUAUUGGCUCAAAUGUAACAGAAUCACUUGGACGAUUUGCAUAUUUUUUUUUAAAUAAUUUAUUAAUUAUUUUCAACUUACUCAUACUUAGCCAAACUUCAAAAAAAAAUUAAUACAAUCAAUAUCUAAUAUUCUUAUGGUAUUUCUAUUUAAACUUAUAAUCCUAAAUAUAAAACUAUAAUGCAUAAAAUAUAAAAAUUAAAUAUGAUAUAUCAGAUUAAUAAUUUCCUUUUACAUAAUCAGGAUCGUUUAAAGACUAUAUAUUCAAGAUAAUUUCAUUUCAACUAAAUAUAAAACAUAAAACACAUAAAAAAAUACUCAAGAUAAACUCCUUUUAUAUAAUUAGGANAUAUAUUAAAAUUUAAAAAAUUUUAUAUGAUAUAGAAAAAAUUUUAAAAAUUUGGGGGCUGCUGUGUAAAGGAGAAUAUAUAUACUUCCACAUAGGACCAACUGGCAAAGCAUGAUUAAUUUGUACUAGUAAAUGUCUGGAGAUUGAUGAUUAGCCUUGAUCUGCCAUAAUUCAUUGAAUCACUUUGGAAUGGGGCGGCUCUGAUUUUGCCACCUUUUUCGGUCCAAUGGAAUCAUAAAGUUAGUAAUUAAAGGAGUGAAUGGAAGAGCAAGCCAAAAUAAGGAUGAGUCUUUUGGUCAAAAACCGACAACAGCUUAUUACUAUAUAAUUUUCUUCUUUCCUCUCUUCUAUAAACCAUGAUGGGCAAUGAAAACAGAUUUUAUUUGUUUAAUAAAAUCUCAUGACUUAAGGUGAGCCUUUGUUUGUACUUGAACGGCCGUGAAAAGCUGCGUGCCAGUUUCAUAAAACCCAGUCAGACACAACGUUUCUGCUCAACUCAUCCCUUUUACCUUACUUUAGCGUCCUUUGCUCUUCCAUUUCUCAAAACCCUUUUAUUUUCUUCCUUUGAUCUUCGAUUCUCUUUUCCUUUUCCUUUGUUUUUUUGGCUUGCUCCGUUGUUUCUUUCUCAUCUCUUUUCCCUUCACCUCAAGGUGUCGGCUUCUCACAUUCCUCUACUUUCCACCCAAUAAACCAGAAACCUUUCACUUUGAUUCUUAGUUGCCUCUUUCUUCAUAGCUACAGCUAAUGGAGAAAACCACCGUUUCCAAUUUCUUACCAUUCUGAUUAUUUGCCUUGCUCAUAUCGUUUAUUGAUAUAUUCGUCUUGCUGUUUUCAUUUUUGGGUCUUCUCGAUCCCCUGUUGUCUACUUCUUCUGUCAUUUGCUUUGCUUUUCUGUUGAAUUAAAAAAAUGGAACCUAUUCUUACUGGUGCUGCUGCCAACCUUUCUUCGGAAGCUGCAAAAGGCAUCUUCCAAGAUAUGAAACGUCAUAUCAGAUAUGUAAUCAUUUACAAGAAAAAUGUCGACAAGUUUGAGGAGAAACUUAAGAUGUUGAUAGCAAAAAGAGCAAGUCUGCAGCAAGAGGUUGAUGCUGCAGACAGGAACGGGGAGAAGAUAAAAGCGGACGUCCAACAUUGGAGCAACACAGUGGACAAGGUAAUCAAUGAAGAUGUGAAGAAAAUGAAGGAUCUUGAAGACAAAGCAAAGAACAAGUGCUUCAUUGGCUUGUGUCCCAAUAUCAAGUCUCGCAACCAGCUUAGCAGGAAAGCAGAAGAAGGUGUCGCGACUAUUGACGACCUUAUCCAACAGUGUCAAUUUAACGGAGUGGGA